AAUCAUAAUUAUCCUAUAGAAUAAGUGAGUGUGGCUGCUGCUCAAGCAACAUGACACCGUCGACACGUCUGCCGGAGAAAAAAAGAGUAUUUUUGUAAUUUUGAUAAUUUUAUAGAGCCGCCUCACUGUGUUCCUUAUCCAUUUCGACUGCUAAGUUUUUCUUUCGUCCCUCUUUGGCUUCUCUCCUUAUAAUUUCAUUGAGCAAAGAUUGUUGUUUAUGACGGUUUGAAGUUAGUUUCUUGUCUACAUCAGUCAAAAACUACAAUUUUAAGAACGGUAAUUGGGUGUUUUUCUUUUUGAGAAAUGGAUCAAAAAGAUUUCUGAUUUCUUCCAGAUCUGCAAGCACACACAAUAGGAAAAGUAAAGAUACAUUGUUUUGAUUAUAAUAAUCUGAGAACCUUCCUCUAUUGUUUAUUAGUUCUUUAAUAAGGAUUUGUUGAUAUCUCUUUGUCAGUUCACAUAGUAUUUCCUUGCUAUAGCUCGACCCGAAUAUAGUAGAUUAGCCUUUUAAUCUCUGCUUUGUGUUUUUCUUAUUUGGGUAUUGCAGACAUUGAAAUUCUGUGGACUCUAUAAAAAGAGUUCAAUUUUUAUUAGAGUUUUUGGGCUACUUUACUUUAAAUCUGGCUUGAUGACUAUUCGAUCUAAAUCCUAAAUUAUAUGUAUAUAAAGGGGCAAAUAUUCAAAUCUGAAAAGUCUCCAUAAAUUCAUGUGAUAUUAAUAAAGAUCAAAAUUUCCUCUUUUUGAUAAUCAAAUACAUUAAGAAAACAAACUCUCCUUUCAUGGAGAUCAAAUUCAAAUGUUUCUACGUUCGAAAAUACCUCACUAACGGUCCUCAAAUUACGGAAAAUUCAUAUCCAAAUCUUCAUACAUUCGAGAAAUAUGCUAUUGACGGCCUUCAAAUUACAGAGAAAAUUAAGAGAGAAUAAGGAAGGAAUAAAUUUGUACCCAUCGUUUAUCAAUAAAACUGUUGUUUUUCAUAAUUUUAUUUGUGGUUGAAGUUUAUUUUCCAUGAAUUAAAUUAUAUUGAAAAUAAAUUGGCAUUUCCUUCAUCUCUUUUCUCAUAAAUUAAAUAUGCAAAUUUGUAAUCGCAGGAUCGUAAAGAUGAAAGUGGUACUUCAAGACUCGUCUUUGAGUUUCAUCAAGUCUACACGGGCAUUUGUAGACAUUGGUCAUUUGUAGACAUUGAAAUUUUGGGGACUUUACAAAAAGAAUUUUUGUUAGAGUUCUUGGCGCUAUUUUACCAUAAAUGCUACUCGACCUAAACCCUAAAUUAUGCCUGUAUAAAGGGGCAAAUAUACUUUGAAGAGGCAUCCCCAAUAUCCAAAAAGAUCAAAGAUCUAAAAAGUCCCAAUAAAUUCAUGGGAUAUUUAUAAAGAUUAAAACCUUUCUUCUUGAUAAUCAAAUACAUCAAGAAACAAAUCCUCCUUUCAUGGAGAUCAAAUUCAAAUGUUUCUACCACUAACGACCCUCGAAUUAUGGAAAAAUUCAUAUCCAAAUCUUCAUACAUUCGAGAAAUAUGUUAUUGACGAUCCUCGAAUUACGGAGAAAAUCAAGAGAGAAGAAUCAAGGGUUUAUCAAUAAAACUGUUGUUUCUUCAUAUUUUUAUUUGUGGUUGAAGUUUAUUUUUCAUGAAUUAAAUUAUGUUGGAAACAGAUAUUCUGUAAGUGGAAAAAAAAGAAAAAGAUUGGAGGAGUUUGAAUAUUUUGUACACAAGGUGAUUUUUAGCUAAAGGCCAACUCAGCGAUACCUUACUUCUUACUUUGUGCUUGCUAUUCUGUUUUCUGGAACUGCUUAUUUUCACUGUGAUUUUAUACAUAUUUUUGCUUUCUGAAUUUUGAUUUCAUGUGUUUAGAUGUUCAGUCAUAAACAGAAAAGGAAGCGUAUCUGUUCUGAAGAAAGAAAUGAUAAAAUUAAGCAGCGACGACGUGAAAUGUACAGGGCCAUGCCAGCUGAUAAAUGAGAAAAGAACUUGCUCCAACGACGAAGGACUUCCAAUCAGCUUAGACCAGAAAAUCCAAGCAGCAAUUUUCCCGGUAUGGCAGCUUCAUCUGAAUUUAAUUCGCACCUGAUUUGCGAAAAACUUGACAGAACUCCACCCUCAUGUCCUCUACGGGAAACAGACAAUGGUUCACUUAAGGAUGAGAGGUCUCUUUAUACGGUUUUUGGCGAGUCCUCUAUCUCGACGAGGUAGGGCUGCGAUAGCAAGAAAACCAGGAGAACCUCUGGUGAUAGAGGAGGUGAUUGUGGCUCCACCUAAAGUCCAUGAAGUUCGCCUAAAAAUCAUAUGUACUUCUCUCUGUCACAGCGACGUUACCUUCUGGAAGUUGAAAUUUUCCUUUAGGACUUUCCUGGAUGCUUUCCAAGAAUAUUGGGACACGAGGCUUCGGUUGAGGCCAUAGUGAUGCGGAAUUUGAUCCAGAGCAUGCAAGAAGAUUUCGAGGAUAAAUUGUGGGAUAGAUAAUAGUCAAUUUUGUGACGCUCGGGUUGUCCUGCUGAUGUAGCUGAGUAUUUUCAAACAAGUCGCUCAUUUGGGGAGCUGCAGCUCUGUACGUAUAAAUGCUCUGAGGUUAGCAAUCCGCCUUCUUCGCAUUCAGCAAUUAAGACCGAAGUCCUCCAUCACCUCAGCACCUAUCAUAAGUUCUGUUGUUUACUCCUUGGAAAAAUGUUCAGGAAAAACUCUUAUUUUGUUCAUAGGAUUGCUCAAGAACAUACAAUAUCUCGCCACCACUCCAACAUUUCUAGACAAUACUUAUUCUACUACAAGAAGUGUUCCCACAGUUUGACAA